rnacentral:tRNA from 1 species
GGUGCUGUGGCAUAGCGGGUAAAGCUCCGGCCUGCAGUGCCGGCAUCCCAUAUGGGCAUUGGUUUGAGUCCCGGCUGCUCCA